UACGUAGGGGGCGAGCGUUGUCCGGAGUUACUGGGCGUAAAGCGCGCGCAGGCGGCCUCUUAAGUCUGAUGUGAAAUCUUGCGGCUCAACCGCAAGCGGCCAUUGGAAACUGGGGGGCUUGAGUACAGAAGAGGAGAGUGGAAUUCCACGUGUAGCGGUGAAAUGCGUAGAUAUGUGGAGGAACACCAGUGGCGAAGGCGACUCUCUGGUCUGUAACUGACGCUGAGGCGCGAAAGCGUGGGGAGCAAACAGG
rnacentral:rRNA from 1 species